GCUGUCCUUGAAGCCCCUGCCCAGACACACAUAGAGUAGUGGGUUGAGGCAGCUGUUGAAAUAGGCCAGACACAGUGUUAGAACCUGUGCCAGGUAAACUGUGGGACUGUUUGUGGAAUUUCGAGGGGUAAUCAAAUCGAUGAAGUCCACAAUGUGUAGAGGAAGCAAGCACAGAAAGAAGCUCAGCACCACUGCAAUGAUGACCCUCAGUGUGCGCUUGGAGCGGGUCCGACCCCUUGAGAGCCCACUCUCUGCUUUGCAGUAAACCACCCAGUGACAGACUAUGAUUACCAGGAAAGGGAGGAAGAAUCCCACCACAAAGCGGAAGGAGGUGACCAACCAGGCACUGUGUGUAGGGAUCUCUGUCCUACACUCUCGUUUUUCUUCCCCAGCUUUGAUCUCCCUGGUAUAAACAAACCCGGGGAUGCUACCCAAAAAGGCCAAGCACCAGAUAGCGACACACAUGAAGGCAGCUGGCUUCGGUCGCCUCUUGUUCUGACACCAGACUGGUCUGCUAACCAGCAGCCACCGAUCCACACUGAUCAGAACCAGCUGCAGGAUGCUGCAGAACAUCACCAGGUCUAUCAACUUGCUGUUCCCCAGUGUUUCCUGUCCCGCUGAUUACCCCUAAUGUGCCUCACCUGUGUCUUGUUAUCCUCACUCCCUCAUGUAUUUAAGCUCAGCUUACCUUCCCUUCUGUGCCAGUUCGUCUUGUUCUUCAUGUCAGAGUUCCAGUAUUCCUCAUGUUUUCCUUAGUGAGUAUUUUGAUUAGUGUUUUUGUUUUUUGGACCAAGUUUUUGCCUGCCGAUCUGGAUACCUCUGCCUGUAUUGUUUGUCUUCCUGUGUAUUGGACCCACAUUAAACAGGCUUUGAACUUUGA